UAGAUUAUUGAUAAAUGCAAUGACAUGGAUGAAUCUCAAAAACACUGUUGCUUGAAAAAGCCAGACACACACACACAUUAGCAUACUAUAUGAUUCUGGGGUGAUAAAAAUGUUUUAUAUCUCAUUUUGAGUAGUGGCUGCAUGGGUAUAAAGUUGUCAAAACCCAUCUAACUAAAUAUCCGAGAUCAAUGCUGCGUAUUGAAUAUAAAUUGUGCCUCAGAAAAAGAAAUAAACUUCCUUUAUAAAAUGCUCUUAACAUACCCUCUGCAUAUUCUCAGACUUCAGGUGCUUGAAAAUAAGCCUCCUGUCCCAUUUCAUACCUUAGAAUGGCUGUGAGGUAAGUCUCAGAAGAACUCGAAGGCAAACACCAACAGAGGUAAAUGACAAACUGUAGCUAAACCAAGGCAGAAACUGGGUAAGUGCUGGGGCCCAGCCAAGGGGCACUGUGGUGAAAAACUCCUGGCUGUUUUUGCCAACAACAGACCCCCUCUUCUCGUAUGCCCUGGAAGGACGUUAGUGCUAAUUCCAGCUGCACUGGCUCCUGAGGUUUACACAGAGAGAAUUUAGCAGGAGUUGACCCUAUAGUCUCUUGUGUAGCCAUCCUCAACCGAUCCCAAUAGAGAACACUCCUUCCUUGAAUUCCUGUUGUAUUCUCAGCUGUACCAUACAACUCAGCAUCUAUUUUAUAUUUAGUACAUUACUUAUUAGGCAGGCAAUACAGCAGAAUGUUUAAAAGCAUGGUCUUUGUAAUCGGAGACCUGAAUUCAAAUUCUAUCCCUGUCACUUAUCAUCUGCCUAAAUUUGGAGAAUGCACUCAAACUCCCUGAACUUCAAUAACCAUUUGCACUAGACAGGGGGUUUUCCAAGAGGGAAAGACUGAAGAGGGAUGUAUCAUACUUGCCAAACUUACCAAUCAGUUUCACCCUCCUGGGUGGAGUAAGCGGUGGGCAAGGCAGACCAGGGCUCUUGUGCUAACAGAAAGGAAACAUAGGGAGUGUGGACAAAGCAUUCUCCCCCUAGCAAUUUGUAUGAGAGUUCACCAUUUUCAAAGCUCUUUCACCAAUAUUACCUACUGUGAAGCGGGUACUAUUAUCCACUCUUUAUAAAUAUGGAAAAUGAGGUUCAAAAUCAUGGUCUGUACCAACAUAAAGCUGACAUAAGCAGCUACACCUGCAAGUAGACAAAGAGUUUUCAAGAUUGUUUUUAUUAAUGUCUAAUUUGGGCAACUAUUUUAAAUUUUUAUUGACAGAUUAAGUACUUAUAUAUACCUUGUAUAUAUAAAUCAUAAGUAUAUACUUCGUUAAAUGUUUACAAAUUGAACAUACUCAUGGAGUCAUGACCUAAAUUAAGAAACUGAACACCCUCAGCUCCUCCAAAGACCAGUCCCUCUCCCCAGCCUGUGCCUGUCUCAGAUCAAUAGCCCACCCUCAGGAAUAACCAUAUCUUAACUUCUGCUACUGACUCAAUGUUUGUGUCCCCCUCCAAAUUCAUAGGUUGAAAUCCAGUCCCCCAUGUGAUGGUCUUUGGAAGUGGGGUCUUUGGAGGUGAUCGGGACUAAUGCCCUUAUAAAGCAGACCCCAGAGAGCUCCCUUGCCCCUUCUGCCAUGUGAGGACACAGCAAGAAGACAGCCAUCUGUGAACCAGGAAGGGGGCUCUCACCAGACACUGAAUCUGCUGGUGCCUUGAUCUUGCCCUUCCCAGCCUCCAGAACUGUGAGAAAUAAAUGUUUGCUGCUUAUAAGCCAGCCAGUCUACAGUAUUGUGUUAUAGCUGCUGGAACGGACCAAGACACUUCUAGCAUCAAAAUUAGUGUUGCCUGUUUCUGAACUGUAUACAAAUGGAAUCCGGUGGAAUCACACACUAAGCACUCCUUUGUGUCCAUUGUUUUAGCUCAGUUUUAUGAGAUUUCUCCAUGUUGUGAUGAAACAAACAAGGGUCACCGAUCAGAGCACAGCCAGGAUCCAAAGGUGCAUCUGUCUUUCUUCCGACCUGGGGUCUUUCUCCCCUCAGCUUUUCUUUUGCCAAGAGGAGCCCCGAGUGUUCUCUGCUGAGGGCUGGACUGCUACCACCGCGGGUGACCUGCUUUCUCUCCGAAUGGUGCUCAAGCAAGCCCUUGCCAGUUUCCUCAUGUCAUUAUCUGCACCAGAGACUUAUACGAUCAGACCUGCCCACCAGUCUCUUCCUGAAUCGUUACUCUCAACACAUGUCAAUCCAGCGCAACCCAAAUAAGAGACCACUCUUCCCUGUCUCCAGGAGCACGCAGCAUCCUGUCCCCUUCAAGUUUGAGUGAGAAGAUACUUUGUGUUUCUCUUGAUUGAAACACUUGGUUCUACCAGCAUGUAUUUGUGUUUUAAAAGAAGAAUGUAUCUAUCCAAUGUAUCUAUCUAAAUCUCUAACGCAAGUAUCGAUACAUUCUCUGAACAGGAAGAAGUUCAGAACAGCGGGGUGGCAGCAGUAAAUCCCUGAUUUACAAAGAAGGAAGCUGAGUCUCAGAAAAUCUUUGGCUUGGCAGCGAAUAAGUCGCAAAAAUGUGAAAGUGAAGCUCUACCUUCUAAUCUCUGACUUUAAACCUUGCCCUCCUUCUGCCCCCCGCCUGGUGCCCACCUUCAUCAGCCACCACGCUGUGCUAAAUCUCUCCUUCCUCUGUUUUCAUGCUUGUAGGAGACUCAUUUCCUCAGAGUGCCCUGGAGAGGGGGCUGGGACAGAGCUCCCCUCCUCCCCUCCAAAGCUGGACUCCAUCCAGGCUCACAGUCCUCUCGUAUGGAUCAAUUAAUCCUCGGAAACCACAGCAGAAAUUCCGUUUUCUCUUCCUGGGCUGCUAAGUUUCUGGGCAUGCCCAGAGGAUCUUCAGACUUCACAAACCGGUCGUGCAGAGCCUGGCAUUUCAGUAAGAAACAAAAUGCUGAGUAACAACAACAUGAAGUCAAUCUGUCUCUUGCCAAGACCUGGGAGGCCUGGGUGGUUUCCCAAUCUUAAAGAGGCAGAAGGAUAUUAAAGCCAGCUCCCCGGGGGAAAACCUGGAUGGAUUUACCAACACAGAAAACGCUGUGCACUAAUCCAAUUCGGUUUCCACCUCUGGAUGGUUGAAUCCGCAGAUGCAGAACCAUGAAUACGGAGGGCCAACUGUACUAAAAAGGAUAUUGACAUGAGCACCAGCAUAAAACAAGGCAUCUCUGAAUGUUUUUCAACACAGAAGAGUGUCUUUCUACCAUGGCCAUAGCGUGUGCAUCUCUCUACAUCUGUCCUCAAAUUCCUGGCAACAUGAUUGUGCUCUGAGUAAAAUCCCCUUAGUGUGUUGUGUUGAGCUUACCCAUAUGUGUAUCUGUGGGACUUUCUGUUUAUUUAAAAUUUGCCUUAAGACCUUAAAGAACUCUGAGCAACAGUGCCUGAGGAGCUCAUUUCCUAACCCAAGGAGCAUGGCAAACCAACCGGGUUAUGAAAGAGCAGUGGAGCGUCCCAGACUGUCCCUGUUGUUUGGGGAAGUGCUCUCUGAGGGUCACAGUCCUGGGAUGGCAGCCAGAUGAGAAACAUAAGCUCUGAAUUUCGAAGCAAAGUUUUUAUUUCUUUCAAAACAACUAUCACUAUAUGACAUAAGCUUAAUUUCAAGGCCAUUUGGGCCUUGCUGGCAAUAGUAUAAUUCCUGGAUGAAAUAAGGUUUGGAGAAAUUUGAAAAAUCUACUACGUUAUGUGACCUUGGACAAAUCACUUAACCACAUCAAACUGUUGUUAUUUUAUGAAUAACAAUAAUAAUUACAUUGGAUUGUUAACAUAGUAAUCCCCCCACCAAAGUAUUGCAAUACUAUUAAAUACAUGUAAGAAAAAUAAGUACUUAUCAUCCCCUAUUUGGUCAAAGAAUUUUUGUCACUUACUAAGACGGUUUUAGCAAGACUUUUAAUUGAGGGGUCAGAAAGUUACUCACACUAAUGAGGGAACAGAACUCUAUAAUCUGUAAUAUCCUAGCUGGCUACAGUGUUCUACCGCUCUAGAUCUUACUGUCUCUAGGACUCCUUUUUUUCUUCCUUGGGUUAUUCCUUAAUUCUGGGCAUUUUACUGUUCAUUGUCUCUCCCUCUAAAGGUUGGCAAAGGAAAGUAACAGCAAUUCUGAUAAACAGAGCAAAUAUAAAUAGAAAUGAACCAAAGGCAGCUCUGUUAUAUUCAGUAGAAAAUCAUAUAUUGAUCAAACGGCACUAUAACUUGGGAGGCAAAAUGGAAUGGUAGCUAGAACAUAGGCUCUGGAGUCCAGAGUGGGAAAUUCAUGCCUUGAAAAUUAUUCUGUACUGGCCACUUGACCCUUAACAAAUCAUGCAACCUCAGAGACUUCGUCUAAAAACUUUGGGUGGUAAUAGUACAUACUGUCUAAGAUUUGGGAGAAGUAAAUGAUAUUACCCAUAUAGUGGGUGUGAAAGAAUUUCAAUCUAAAAUAGAAAGGAAGGAUAUAAAAUGAAGAAUCUCACGCAUUUGCCCUCAGGAAGACAAAAUUUAGGGACUAAGAGACCGAUUUCCCACAAAUGCCUGACUUACAGAAAACUGAUAGUGUCAGAAUUUUCUCAGAUGGUGGGGGUGGGGUGGGUGUUUGGUUGAUCAGAGGUUGUCUGUUAUCAAUCUCAGGAAAUUCUGCUACAGGUAUGAAUAGAAGAUGACCCAGGUCAGGUUGAUCUAACAAACUGGGCUGACCUGAGCUUUGUAUGUGUGACUGGACUGACGGUGUCUGCUCGAGAAGUUUUCAAGUCUGGUUUCUGUUUGUUUUUGAUUCUGACUGACUAUAACUGAACUCUCCCCUCUUUACAUCCCCUGCCCAUAAAUACAACCUACGCCAGACCCUCAACAGACUCGCCUAUAGCUUGCUACAGUUUGCUUGUCUUGAAUUGCAAUUCCUCUGACUACUCCUGAAUAAACUCUUUUUUUUUGAGCUUGCCUCAGUUUACCUCUUUAUUUAGGUCAGCAUGGUCAAUGUCCUAAAUAUUACCUAUUACUAUUAAGUGAUACUAUUAUGAGAUAUCUUUAUGUAUCAACAACAAAAGAAUUCUCCUAAUUUGAAGGUCCAUUUAGUUCCAGCAAUAUCUGAUCCUAUGGAAAUCUAGCACAAUGGGACACCCCUGGAAUGACUAUAACAGGAUUAAGUCUGUUUCCAGGUCGUUUCAGUAGGAAACUUGAGACUUCAUUAUCUGUUUGUCAAUGUGUUAUUUAAUCCAUAGUUCCCUCACAGUCCCUAACUACUCUUCCGGUGUCUUUAACAGCCCUGUGACUUUGAGGCUUUGCUCCCUUCCCGAUUCACAGUUCAUUUUCAUCAACACUCCUGUUUCCUGUUUUGCCCCCCGUCUAGGUUGUUUUGCACCUCUAACUCCUUCCCCUUCCUCUUCAGAGGACAUCAGCAACAUUUCCACUAGGGAUGGGCAAUGCCACCAGCUUCUCUUGCUGUAGCUUUUCCUCUUCUUUCUUUUGCUUUUUUUAACCUCCUUUGAACCGUCCUAAGCUUCCUGUAAUAACUACAUCUCUGUUUCAGCUAUUUCAGUACUUCUGGGGCUUUAGAGUUUGAUCUGGAUUCACGUCUUCUCGCCGAAACCAUCUCAAACAAGUAGUUUGAGGUUUUUGCUGGAAGGUAAUUUGAAUUUGUUUAUAUGGCCACCAACUCCCAAUUUAGAUGUCAUGAGACCUCUGGAGUGGAGGAGUGACCUUCCCAGAUUACCUUCCUCUUAUUAUCACUCAGUGGCAUUAUUAGUAGGGACGGGCUGUUUUGUUCAUGACUCAACUUCGCUUCUUAUAUAAGUAAUUACUGCUAAAUCAGGAGAAUUAGGAAAGACUUUCAGUUCGGGAGGGUUGAUGAAGAGUUAACUAAACUCAACCAUAGAUAGAUAUGGCUAUAUUUCUAUGAUUUGAUAUACCUUCAUCACUAUGAGUGAUCACAUACACACACAUGAGUGCACGCACUUAUACAAAAACACACAAUUACUCCUUUGUAAUAUUCCGGCAUCUUUUCUGCAAGGAAGACACAAAUUCAAACUGAAUAUGACAAAAUAACUCAGCUGCCAUGGCAGAUGAUCAAUGACCUCUUCUGCUUCUUUUGUUUGUUUUUUUUUUUUAAAUUUUAUUUUUGGUCAUCACUACUUAGGUGGAGAGCAAAAAAGCCCAAAAUAUUUCUCAGGUUGCUGUCAAAUGAUUGAGGUCUGAGAUGUACAUUUAUUCAUUCAACAAAUAUUCACUGAGCACCAACUAUGUUCCAGGUGCUCAUAGCACAGCUACUUACAAAACAGACCAGACCCCCACCAUCCAGAACCUUGUGUUCGGGUGGGUAAUCAUCAUUCAUUAUCAGCCACCCUGCUCAUUUGAUCAAAAUCCAAUGUUGUUUCAGAUUCCAAGAGGAGAAGGUUGAGGCGAGAACAGAGAUGGAGUUUAUCACGUGCCCCGUCGUGUGGUUUCCUAACAGGCCAAAUGCAACACAGACGGAGGCCAGAGGUCCCAGAGCUAUCAGCUGCCAACUUCACCAUGCACAGAGGAGAUGGAGGAGGCCCAGCUGCAGAGGGAGAGGAUGACAGAGACACAGGAGCCAGGAGAGGAGGGGAAGGAGAGGAGAACAGCAAGAUAGGGGAGGGGAGGAAGAGAAGAAGAAAGAAAGAAGAGAAGAAAUUUAAUCUAACCUCAAUGGAGCUAUGAUUGAAGCCAGCUGAUUCCUGAACUUCCUAGAUACUCAACAAAUUCCUUCUCUGUUCAAGCCAGUUUAAAUGAGGGACCUGCAACUGAGAGAGUCCCACCUGAGACAGUAGCUGAUGUUCCAUCGUUCAUUCAUUCAACAAAUGUCUAUUGUGUGCCUCCUAUAUGCCAGGUGCUAAACGUGUAUGGGGGGGCGGUGCACACGGUCCUUGCCCCUUUGCCCUCACAGAGAUUAUACCCUGGCUGGGGAAAUAAACAUUACACACAUUCCAUUUGAAUAUCUAUAUUCAAUUUUUCAUUUUAUGGAAGAAAAGAAUAGGGUACUGAGAAAUAGCACUAGAGGAGAAUGAGUUGAAAGUCUACAGUGUUGUUAGAAUAAUACUUAAAAUGGCAUGCAUGGAUUGAGAUUUGGCAGUGCAGAUGAGGCAACUUGGUGGAAAUAGAGAAAAAUUCAUUCAUAGUUUGGAGCCCCGGAGCCUCAUCCUAGCUCCAUCAAAAUCUGCCAUUUUUGAUUUUUUUCAUCAGUAUUUUAUAGUUUUCUGAGUACAGGUAUUUUACCUCCUUAGGUAGCUUUAUUCCUAGGUAUUUUAUUCUUUUUGUCAUGAUGGUCAGUGGGAUUGUUUCCUUAAUUUCUCUUUCUAAUCUUUUGUUGUUAGUGUAUAGCAAUGCAAGAGACCUAAAGAUUGUCAUACUGAGUAAAGUAAGUCAGGCAAAGAAAGACAAAUAUCAUAUGAUAUCGCUUACAUGUGAAAUCUAUAAAAAGGGUACAAAUGAACUUAUUUACAAAACAGAAAUAGAGUCACAGAUGUAGAAAACAAACUUAUGGUUACCAGGGGAAAAGGCAGGGAAGGGAUAAAUAGGCAGAUUGGGAUUGACAUAUACACACUACUAUAUAUAAAAUAGAUAACUAAUAAGGACCUACUGUAUAGCACAGGGAAUUCUACUCAAUACUCUGUAAUGGCCUGUAUGGGAAAAGAAUCUAAAAAAAAGAGUGAAUAUAUGUAUAUGUAUAACUGAUUCACUUUGCUAUAUCCCUGAAACUAA